rnacentral:rRNA from 1 species
CGAAGCGUGCGAUUGGAUUGCACGUCUAAGCAGUAAGGCUGAGUAUUAGGCAAAUCCGGUACUCAUUAAGGCUGAGCUGUGAUGGGGAGAAGACAUUGUGUCUUCGAGUCGUUGAUUUCACACUGCCGAGAAAAGCCUCUAGAUAGAAAAUAGGUGCCCGUACCGCAAACCGACACAGGUAGUCAAGAUGAGAAUUCUAAGGUGAGCGAGCGAACUCUCGUUAAGGAACUCGGCAAAAUGACCCCGUAACUUCGGGAGAAGGGGUGCUCUUUAGGGUUAACGCCCAGAAGAGCCGCAGUGAAUAGGCCCAAGCGACUGUUUAUCAAAAACACAGGUCUCUGCUAAACCGUAAGGUGAUGUAUAGGGGCUGACGCCUGCCCGGUGCUGGAAGGUUAAGAGGAGUGGUUAGCUUCUGCGAAGCUACGAAUCGAAGCCCCAGUAAACGGCGGCCGUAACUAUAACGGUCCUAAGGUAGCGAAAUUCCUUGUCGGGUAAGUUCCGACCCGCACGAAAGGCGUAACGAUUUGGGCACUGUCUCAACGAGAGACUCGGUGAAAUCAUAGUACCUGUGAAGAUGCAGGUUACCCGCGACAGGACGGAAAGACCCCGUGGAGCUUUACUGUAGCCUGAUAUUGAAAUUCGGCACAGCUUGUACAGGAUAGGUAGGAGCCUUUGAAACGUGAGCGCUAGCUUACGUGGAGGCGCUGGUGGGAUACUACCCUAGCUGUGUUGGCUUUCUAACCCGCACCACUUAUCGUGGUGGGAGACAGUGUCAGGCGGGCAGUUUGACUGGGGCGGUCGCCUCCUAAAAGGUAACGGAGGCGCUCAAAGGUUCCCUCAGAAUGGUUGGAAAUCAUUCAUAGAGUGUAAAGGCAUAAGGGAGCUUGACUGCGAGACCUACAAGUCGAGCAGGGUCGAAAGACGGACUUAGUGAUCCGGUGGUUCCGCAUGGAAGGGCCAUCGCUCAACGGAUAAAAGCUACCCCGGGGAUAACAGGCUUAUCUCCCCCAAGAGUUCACAUCGACGGGGAGGUUUGGCACCUCGAUGUCGGCUCAUCGCAUCCUGGGGCUGUAGUCGGUCCCAAGGGUUGGGCUGUUCGCCCAUUAAAGCGGUACGCGAGCUGGGUUCAGAACGUCGUGA